rnacentral:rRNA from 1 species
UGGGGAAUAUUGGACAAUGGGCGCAAGCCUGAUCCAGCCAUGCCGCGUGUGUGAAGAAGGCCUUUUGGUUGUAAAGCACUUUAAGCGAGGAGGAGGCUACUUGGAUUAAUACUCUAGGAUAGUGGACGUUACUCGCAGUAUAAGCACCGGCUAACUCUGUGCCAGCAGCCGCGGUAAUACAGAGGGUGCGAGCGUUAAUCGGAUUUACUGGGCGUAAAGCGUGCGUAGGCGGCUUUUUAAGUCGGAUGUGAAAUCCCUGAGCUUAACUUAGGAAUUGCAUUCGAUACUGGGAAGCUAGAGUAUGGGAGAGGAUGGUAGAAUUCCAGGUGUAGCGGUGAAAUGCGUAGAGAUCUGGAGGAAUACCGAUGGCGAAGGCAGCCAUCUGGCCUAAUACUGACGCUGAGGUACGAAAGCAUGGGGAGCAAACAGG